GGGGUAUGACUCUCAGGGGGCGGGACAUCGACCGGGCUUGACAAGUGAAGGUGACAGCAGCGUUGCCAUGGAGACUUUUAUUCAGCGUGUAGUCCUAGCACGCUGCGUUCACAACACUUGCAAAUAAAUAAAUAAAAAAAGUUUUUUUAAGUUGCCACCCAGCGGGACAUUAUACGUAAUGUCGUGGAUUACUGCCGUGGAUCCCAAAAAGAGGCGAGGACAAGAGCGUAAGACAGAGGAGGAGCGGAGAGGAAAGGAGGAGGAGAAAGAGGAGGAGGAUGGAGGAUGGAGCUGACUUGCAUGGGAUGCUGAUGCUGUUGCAUGCUGCCUCCAUCCCUCCCUCCCUCUCGCUCUCUCCCUCGCCCAUGGUUUGGAGGAGGAAGAAGAACAAGAAGAAGAAGAAGAAGAAAAAAACAAGGAGUGGUUGUGUGAUUCCCGCUUAGCUCACGAGACAGAAAGAAACGGCACGAGGGUGGAGGAAGAGGAGGAGGAAGAGUAGGAAGAGGAGGAAGAAGGGGGGGAGGGCGUUACCCCCCCUCUACCCUCCCCAGCACUUCAGCAUGGAUCCAAUGUGGAGACAAACGGAGCGGCUUCUCUCCUACCGAGCGGCGCUGCUGACCCUUCGGCCUCGCUGGAAAAGACGACGGCGUGCACUCUCGACCACGGGUAUUCUUGGGUUGAUAAUACAGAUGUGGAUGUUAUUGCUUGAGAAUACGCGUAGUCGAGUGGAG